rfam:Ciona savignyi cont_34261, whole genome shotgun sequence.
GCUUAUCACCAUUCCAGAUUGAAUAUACCCGAUCUCGUCUGAUCUCGGAAGUUAAGCAAUCUCGGGCUUGGUUAGUACUUGGAUGGGUGACCGCUUGGGAAUAACAAGUGUGAUAAGCA